GAUGAAGAACGUAGCGAAAUGCGAUACGUAAUGUGAAUUGCAGAAUUCAGUGAAUCAUCGAGUCCUUGAACGCACAUUGCGCCCCCUGGCAUUCCGGGGGGCAUGCCUGUCCGAGCGUCAUUGCUGCCCUCAAGCACGGCUUGUGUGUUGGGCCUCCGUCCUCCUCCCGGGGGACGGGCCCGAAAGGCAGCGGCGGCACCGCGUCCGGUCCUCGAGCGUAUGGGGCUUCGUCACCCGCUCUUGUAGGCCCGGCCGGCGCUUGCCGACACAUCAAUCUUUUUUCCAGGUUGACCUCGGAUCAGGUAGGGAUACCCGCUGAACUUAAGCAUAUCAAUAAGCGGAGGA
rnacentral:misc_RNA from 1 species